rnacentral:rRNA from 1 species
AUUGAACGCUGGCGGCGUGCUUAACACAUGCAAGUCGAGCGAGAAGACGUAGCAAUACGUUUGUAAAGCGGCGAACGGGUGAGGAAUACAUGGGUAACCUACCCUCGAGUGGGGAAUAACUAGCCGAAAGGUUAGCUAAUACCGCGUACGCUCCUUGGACUUCGGUUCAGGGAGGAAAGCGAUACCGUGGGUAUCGCGCUCUUGGUUGGGCUCAUGUCCUAUCAGCUUGUUGGUGAGGUAACGGCUCACCAAGGCUUCGACGGGUAGCUGGUCUGAGAGGACGAUCAGCCACACUGGCACUGCGACACGGGCCAGACUCCUACGGGAGGCAGCAGUAAGGAAUAUUGCGCAAUGGGCGAAAGCCUGACGCAGCGACGCCGCGUGGGGGA